UACGAAGGGGGCUAGCGUUGCUCGGAAUUACUGGGCGUAAAGGGCGCGUAGGCGGCUUGAUCAGUCGGGCGUGAAAUCCCUGGGCUCAACCUGGGGGCUGCGCCCGAUACGGUCAGGCUUGAGGACGGAAGAGGCUCGCGGAAUUCCCAGUGUAGAGGUGAAAUUCGUAGAUAUUGGGAAGAACACCGGUGGCGAAGGCGGCGAGCUGGUCCGUUACUGACGCUGAGGCGCGACAGCGUGGGGAGCAAACAGG
rnacentral:rRNA from 1 species